AAUCCAUAGGUUAAUGAGGCGAACCGGGGGAACUGAAACAUCUAAGUACCCCGAGGAAAAGAAAUCAACCGAGAUUCCCCCAGUAGCGGCGAGCGAACGGGGAGGAGCCCAGAGCCUGAAUCAGCAUGUGUGUUAGUGGAAGCGUCUGGAAAGGCGCGCGAUACAGGGUGACAGCCCCGUACACAAAAGCGCAUGUGCUGUGAGCUCGAUGAGUAGGGCGGGACACGUGGUAUCCUGUCUGAAUAUGGGGGGACCAUCCUCCAAGGCUAAAUACUCCUGACUGACCGAUAGUGAACCAGUACCGUGAGGGAAAGGCGAAAAGAACCCCGGCGAGGGGAGUGAAAAAGAACCUGAAACCGUGUACGUACAAGCAGUGGGAGCACCCUUCGGGGUGUGACUGCGUACCUUUUGUAUAAUGGGUCAGCGACUUAUAUUCUGUAGCAAGGUUAA
rnacentral:rRNA from 1 species